rnacentral:tRNA from 1 species
GAUGUAGCCAAGUGGAUCA